rnacentral:tRNA from 1 species
CGGGCAGCUUGGCGCGGGCCUCGGCGACGCCCGGGGGCGGCUCGGGCUCGGUCAGCACGCCGGACUCCCACCGUUCGAGCCCGUACUGCCCGA